rnacentral:lncRNA from 1 species
UGAUGUUGAUUUCUCUUCUGUAGAAAUUGUUUUCCAGAAACUGCAUUCAGAUGUUUUUACUUCACAAAUGUACAUUUGAGAGAGAUUGUGCUUUAUUUUCUUAUAUAUAGAAGGCCCUUACUCUUUCAUAUUACAAUAGUGUAAGGGAGUGAAGUUGGUCAACUCAAUGAACUCAUCAAAGGCUAAUUGAAAUUAAGUGAAAAUAUAGAAUAACUUCUUGUUCAAGUGAAAAUAGAAGUUUUUGAGGAAGCUUCUAGUUCUCGUAUUUAUUUAUUUAUUAUUUUUUAAAUUAUAUGCUUUUAUAAUAAAAUUAUUUACAACAAGUUAAAAAGCUCUUAAUAAGCUCAAUAGAAAGUGCUUUUUGGCUAUUUAUUUAUUUAUUUUAUUUAGGAUUUUGAGAAGCUACUCCAAAGGGGGAGACUUCUUAACAAGUCAAGAUGUGCUAUAAAAGAAUCAUGAUUUACCAACUCUAAAAGAAAAAGCUUCUUUUCUUAAAAGAAAUUAUACAUGCUAGCUUUGUAGUAGAAAAUUAAGUAUUAUUAUGAAAAUUUCAAUUAAAAGCUAAACAUAAUACCAUAUUAAUUACAAGCCUACAACUAAUCAAAUCUUUAUUGUUGAUGGAAUGCAAGAACAUCAGGUGAAAAUCUUCAAACAUUCUCAAAACCUUAACAUUGCUUCAUUUGUUGUGAGUAAUCAUGGGUACUAAGUUAACUUAAUUUGAUGUGUAAAAAAUAUUUUUAUGAAGGAAAAGAGGAGAAUAUCUGAAUAUGUAAUAUUUUGAUUGAAUAGGGGUGUUGGUACUAGGGUUCUUUAUGUUUCAUUAAUAAAAAAUGAAAUAAUUAAUAAUAAUCAUAGUAUGUUUGAAAAAAAUAUAACUUUGUUUUUUUAUAUUUUUGUCAUGAUUAUUUGCACUGAAGUUGAAAUGCUUUAUUGUAUUGAAGUUAAAAUGCUUUAUGCAUGAGAAUGUUCAUUUUAACUCAUUUUUUUUCUUUUUUUGUAUCCACCAAAAUAUAUUCUAUUUGGAUGUAAACUAUCAAAAACAAGUUUUUACUUGUUUUUUUACUUUUUUAUUAUUAUUCAGUAUUUUUUAAAAUUUAUAUUUACAUGACCCAAUUUUAUAAUGAGAAAUUGGAGGAAACUAAAUUCAAUGCUUAGUUAUCAUCCUUUCACUCUGAUUCCUGUGGAUAGUUUGAAAUAUUAGUGUGUAUACUUAUCAAAUUAUCCUCUUUUUCGAAUUUGUAAAGUUCUGUAAUCUUUUUAAGUACAUGAAGUUUGUUUCAUGUGAUAUAUGGAAAGGCUGAAGAGAUGAUCCAUAAAUGAAAAAGUAAUAGGGUUAGGAAUUUUUCAAUAUCAAUUUACUAAGAAAGACAAGGAUAAAAAUGAGGGAUUUGUACUUAUUUCCAAUAAUAAUGAUGUUCCUCUCUUAACGGUCAAUUUGACAUGUGACCUUAAAAUUGUGCAUAAUUUUUACAUGUUUAGUGGAGCUCUAAUUACCAUUACUAUUUGCAUUGAUGAGAUGAAUUUUGAAGUUUCAAAAUAUUAUGCAUAUUACAAAAGUAUGAAAAGCUAGUAUUAAAACAUGCAUGAUUUUCUUACUUUUAUUUUUUAAUAAAUUUUCACAAAAAAAUAAAGAUUAAUAUUUUUAUAUGAUAAAAAAUUAAAAUUUUAAAAAUUUAUAUCUUUGCUCUUUUAGUAAAUUAUUUUUAAAAAAAGUUAAAUUAUCAUUAGUAGAAAAGCUCAAAAAGCUUAUAAAUAGAUGACAAGUUUUUUCUUUCCAACCUUGUUAUUUCUAUUAAACAUGAUUUAUCUCUUAACUAAAAUUUUGCAAAGAUAAUGACUAUAACGUUAAAAGAAAUCACUAAGUUACUAAUAUUUUCCUUUGUCAAUUGCUCUCCCUCUCUAUUAAUCUCCUUAGGUUGAUUCAUACUCAAAUCUUAUUUCUUAAAUUUUCUCAACUAGCCAUUUUCUCAGGUAAAUUUGUUCUCAAUUUCUUAAAUUUUCUCAAUCAUAUUUCUUAAUCCAUGCUCUUACACACAUUAUAUGUGUCUUAUCAAGACAAAGUAUUAAGCAAAACAAAGAAUCAGUUUGGCAUGACUAUUGGAUGGGAGGUUCAAGUGCUUUAUACAUGAUCAUGUUUACUUUAAUUAAUCAUUUGCAGUCAUUCAAUAACACAUAACUUCAUUUCUCAUAUUUUAUUUACUAUUUCCUAAAUUCAAACUUAAAUAUAUAUUUGACUGAAUAUAGAAGCUACAAUAAUAAGAUAUUGGAGGAAAUUAUAAACUUAGUUUUGCUUUGGUAAAGAAGGUUGAAGUUUCCAUAUGAGAUAUGGAGCAUACAUUCAUUUGCUUCUCAUAGUCUUCGAGCUCAUCUCAUUGAAUGUAUAUAAAUAAUUUGAAUCUCAUACUUCCUUAAUCUUACCAACCUUAUCUCAUUAAUAUAUAUAUAAUUUAUCCUAGGAUAACUAAUAGUCUGUCUGAGUGCGAUCCCUGCCGGGUUGAGCUCGUCAUUAGUUGGUGUUAGGCGUUUUUAGGGCUGUAAAAGGGUUGGGGUGAGUACUCACUAGGUUUUUCAAUCUGCUAUUAGGCUCUAAAUUAAGACCUUAAAAUGAGUUCAAUUUUCAAAACCAUGCCUAGGCAAUCCAUAGAUUCUCAAGAUGUUGUUGUAAACAGUGAAGAGAUCAAUUAUCCUAAGACCUAAAAUGAUUUAGAUGAUUGGAAGUUACCCAAGGUGUCUAAUUAAGAAAUUUAUAAGAAAGGAACCUUUAAGUUCUUUACAUACUACACCAUUAAGACACUUGAACAGACCAAAAGCUUAGAACAAGACAAUCAAGUGAUAAGACUCUUGGAUAGUAAAUCCAUAGAGAGACAUAAGCGAGACUACAACUUCAUACACUUUGGUAUGAUUCAAGUUGCAGCUAAGCCUUUGACAAGAAUAGGCUUAAACAUUUUUAUUGUCAUGUGUUUAAGGGAUAAUAGACAUCUUGAUUAUCGAGAUUCUAUUAUAGGAGUAGUCCAAGCAGAAUUAAAUGAUGGUCCUGUUUACUUCUAGUGUUACCCUAACUUCACAGUUAGAUUAAGAGAUGUCGACAUCUUAGAUUCAAUUGUCCUCCAUGUUAAGACCCAUGGAUUUCAGUUCAAGGAAGGAAACAGUCAUGUUUCCAUUAUCACAAGAUUUGCCUAUAAGAGUAUGACCACAAGCGUUGGAUCUAGAGCAUUAUGCACUAGUCCUAAGGGUGAAACCAUUCUCUUCCACUUGGAUGUCUUAAACAAGUCAAACUUCAUAAUCCCCAAAAGGAUCAUGUGGAAUGAGGUUGAGUUUCCUGAAACUUGGCAUUUUGCUAAUGUUGUUCCAGCCAUAGAGCAAAGAUCUGAAAUGAUUGAACAAAUUGUUCAAUAUCCUGAUGGAGAAGAAGAUCUAAAUUUCUCUAACUAUUUUCGUCAUUCUAGCAACCCUAGAAUUUCAUAUUAUAAACCCUCUAGAGCUUUAAGUUCAUCUAUCCUAGUAAGAACCACUAGGAUAGAAUAAGGAUCCACUUCAGAAAACCCUAAGAACAUUAAGCUAACAGGUGUUAGAAGUCACACCAACUUGGACAGACCCUUUUACACUCACUUUUGCAGGGACUCCCUUCCUUUUUUUUUAUAGUUCUUGUUCUAUCUAACUUCCACCUUGAAGUUCCACAAGUAGGACACGAAGAUGCAUCUUUCAACUCAUUCCUAUACAAUAUGCAAUCAUUAGGACAAGCAUGUAUUUUCUCAGAUUCCAUUCCCAAUGUAUUCAAUGUUUUUUUAGCUUCAUACAUAGACAAAGGUAACUCAUUGUUUAGAGGAAACAUAUCUCCAAGAAUUCAUAAAAGCUUUGAAAAGCUUUUAUCAAACCAUCCAUAUCGUGCUUUUAGAUUGUAUAAUGUGACUAAUGCAGACAACCUUGUAAAGUUUCUACAACCAGGAUAUAAAGGUUUUUGAGCAUCUUCAAGUAAUGUUUGAAACAAUUUUAGGUCAUUCUUAUAAUCAUCAUGUGCAGCUUGGACCAUUUCUAUUGUACUAUCCACAUCAUUAAAUUGAACCUUAUCAUGACGUUCUGCCCUACUAGUUGAUGGUCCACUAGGAGCAGCUUCUCUAUGCCAAUACCAUGUAUGGUAACUUUGAUCAAUUCCAUAGAAAAAUAGAUGCUCUCUAAUUCUCUGAGAAGUAUGGAAUAUCAUAUUACCACACUGAAGACAUGGACAUUUAAGGGAGUUUUUUGAUGAGGAAUGUUGUAAUGCAAAUACAAUAAAGCUUUCUACCCCUCCAUAUAAUCUUUUGAUCUCUCAUCCUUUGACAUCCAAGAACGAUUCAUUUUAUGUCCAAAAAAGAAACAAAACUCCUAUAUACCACAACAAUUAGAGUUAUUAAUAGCUAUCCUAUUAAUAGCCUCAAAAUAUAUAAUCGACCAAUUUCAAAUUUCAAAUAGUGAACUAAUGCAGCUAAGAUGUCAAUCAAUAGAAGCAAAUGAUUUAUGCAUUCUAACAUCUCCAACAUCCUUAAUUAGGUAGUGGUUCCUAUCCCAUAUAGGAAUACAUAAUCCCUAUGUGUCAAUUGUCAAUGUACUUAAUUUCAUUUUAAAGAAAUUUCAGCAACAUUUCCCUAUGGUUCUCCAAGUACACAAAAUGGACAAGGCAUAAUAUUUCAUCUUGUCCAAGUAUGUACCCAAAGAAAAAGAGGAAAAAGUACCAAAAUUUAUUUAAAAUGAAUUAAGAACAAGAAAUUAACUUCAUAGAUAUUAUGUUUUCCUACACUGUCCAAUCAGACAAUUCAAGCAUCAUUUGUAGAGAAAAGAUCUUUAUCACAUGGUAGACAAUUUAAAAGUAGUCAAAGUGAAACUAGCAUAGAUAAAACUAUUUUCACCUUUUGACAACUAAAAUGUCUUUACUAUGUAAUAACAGAAACUUUUGUCCCACAAUGAUACUUGAACGGGAACUCUAAGGUUGCAUGCAAGCGUAGUUGAGUAAAAUUAAAACACAAUUACUAAUUGAAAUAUUACAACAAAAUAACAUAACUCUCAUUCUAUCAAGUAAUUAUCCUACAAAACAAAUAAUAAGACAAUAAACAAUGAACAAUGAAUAAUGAAUAAUGAAUAUUUACAUUAAGCAAUGGAGUAAUAGAAAAUCAAAGUUCAACAAGGCUAGUAUAGGAUGUAUAAUCACUUCAUGAACAAAUAAGUGACUGCUAAUACCCAUCAGUCCAAAAUGUGAUAAUAAUAAUUAUAUUAGAAAUGCUUGGGCUUAUUUUUAAAUAUUGACUAACUCAAUUUACAUUAAGCAAUGGAGUAAUAGAAAAUCAAAGUUCAACAAAGCUAGUAUAGGAUCUAUAAUCACUUCAUGAACAAAUAAGUGACUACUAAUACCAUAAUAAUAAUAAUAAUAAUAAGGAUUUUAAUAGACCAAUAUCAUCCAAAACUAGAAUACUUUAUUUUCCUAAUAUGAGAACAAAUACACUACCCAUAACAAAAUGACGGGAAACAUAUAUUCCAUGGUAAAGCAUGUUAGAAGGGGAUAAACACAUUUAACCCCUUGCCUUUGAAGCUUCUUCCCCCCAUUCACAACCAUUAAAAAUAAAUAAAUAAAUAAAUAAAAAUAAAUAAUAAUAAUAAUAAUACAACCAUUAAAAAAAUAAAUAAUAAUAAUAAUAAUAAUAUACACUACCCAUGACAAAAUGACGGGAAACAUAUAUUCCAUGUUAGAAGGGGAUAAACACAUUUAACCUCGUGCCUUAGAAGCUUCUUCCCCCAAUUCACAACCAUUAAAAAAAGAAGUAAUUAAUAAAUAAAUAAAUAAUAAUAAUAAUAAUAAAUAAAUAAAUAAAUAAAAUAAUAAUAAUAAUAAUAAUAAUAAUAAUUAAUUAAUUAAAUAAAAAAAUCAUAAUAAUAAUAAUAAUAACAAUAAUCAUAAUCAUAAUCAUAAUAAUAUCCGAAUUCAUGAAAUCCAGAAACAACACUUAUGGUUUCAAGUUUAAUAUCCAAAGUGGAGGGCUCAAUGCCCAAUGCUACAAUAAAGUACAACAUUAAGCCCAAUCUGAUUACCAAAGCCCAAGACUAAGGCCCAAAAUCCAAUAGAAAUAAAGCCUAAACCAUAAGGGUCCAAUAAUAAUAAUAAUAAUAAUAAUAAUAAUGAUAAUCAUAAUAAUAAUAAUAAUAAAAAUAAUAAUAAUAAUGAUGAUGAUGAUGAUGAUGAUGAUAAUAAUAAUAAUAAUCAUAAUAAUAAUAAUCAUAAUAAUCAUAAUCAUAAUAAUAAUAAUAUCCGAAUUCAUGGAAUCCAGAAGCAACACUUAUGGUUUCAAGUUUAAUAUCCGAAGUGGAGGGCUCAAUGCCCAAUGCUACAAUAAAGUGCAACAUUAAGCCCAAUCUGAUUACCAAAGCCCAAGACUAAGGCCCAAAAUCCAAUAGAAAUAAAGCCCAAACCAUAAGGGUCCAUUAAUGAUGUGUAGGUCUAGUUAUUCAGCCCAAUGCUAAAUUUCGAAGCCUAAAGCCCAAGACACAAUACUUGUGCCCUAAUUUUCAAUGUCCAAGCCCAAAUAUAUGAGGUCUUUAGACCCAAUGUUCAAAGCAUCAGGGACCAAUGCGGCUAACAUGCCUUUAGAUGGUAGAUAGUCUUUGUGUUUGAUCAAGACCUAAACGGCUAACAUAAUUUCAUUGGAAACAUGGUUCCUUCAAAGCUAGGACUCAAUGAGGAGUUUUAUCACUCAAUGUUAUACUGUGAUCAAAAUGAAAGGGUCCCAUCCUCAUAAUUUAAUGUAGGAUGCUUUGAUCCAUGAUGCAGAUCAUCAUGCUCUAAAGCCUCAUAGUGCUUAAGGCUCUACAGGGAUCGUUGCACUCAUUUUUGUAGAUUUUACAUCUUAACUCCCUCAGGUAGCUUUCCCAUGCUGGAAUUUCUUUAGUGUUUGGUCCUCAAUAAUGACAACCAGUCAUCUGAAACCCUGUUUUAUUACCAAUUUGACAAUAGAAGAGAAUGAAGAAGUGAAAACUCAAAAGAGUAGGUCAGCUAUCUCAAGGCAUCCACCAAAGGGAUAAGAGCAAAGAAGAAGAACUUGUUAACAUGCGAAAGUCUCAAAUAUAACUCAAUCCAAUAAGAAAAAUGAAAAGACAUGAGAAUGUUUAAACUCUAAAAAUAAUUCUACUUGAGCAAGGUGGUUAUUAGGACUUGAAAGUUCAUUAGAUGGGCCUUGGCAAAAGAAUUAUAAUCUGUGAAAGUGCCUAUAAAAAAAAAAAAGAGUUAUUUUUGCAAUUAGUUGCAAAACCCAUUGCAGAAAAUUCAUUUCCCACAAAUUAACAACAUUAAUUCUACAUGUACGAGAAAAGAAUCUAGCUGCCACUUUCCAAAAAUAGAGUUCUAGCCACCACUUCCCAAAAAACAGAGCAACAUGCAUCAUUUCAUUCCAAGUACAUUGAAACCCAAAAUUUACAAAAAAAAAAAAAAAAAACUAUAAUACAAAAUCUGGAUAUGAAUAGGUACAGGUUAGAGCUUACAUUAGGUGUCAAUGCCAAAAAUUGCAAUCAGAUGCCAAACAACAUGAAGGAAUGGGUUUUUAUAAACAAUACAAACACAAACAAAUUGUUAUAUUUAUUAGAUUAAAUAUUUAGCCUUAACAAACACCCCAUUAAAAAUCAUAAACACCAAAAAAAAACCCUAAACUAUAAAAUCGAAAAUAUUUUGAGAGAGAAAGAGAUUUACCAGUCAGCUAAUGGUGGCCAAACACGGAUCUGCCGAUAGUAGUAUAUGUCUCCUUUGCAAUCAGUCAAACAGUAGCAGAGACCUCAUAAAUUUUAGGGUUAGAGUUUUGGAGAGGGUUAGGGUUUCAAAGAGGGUCAUCCAUGGCGGUAUUAGGUUUUGAGUGUGGGUGUUGGGCAGUGAGCUUGUUGGGUGUGAUUGUG